rnacentral:rRNA from 1 species
AGAUUAAGUUAUUAAGGGCGCACGGUGGAUGCCUUGGCACUAGAAGCCGAUGAAGGACGUUACUAACGACGAUAUGCUUUGGGUAGCUGUAAGUAAGCGUUGAUCCAGAGAUUUCCGAAUGGGGGAACCCAGCAUGAGUUAUGUCAUGUUAUCGACAUGUGAAUUCAUAGCAUGUCAGAAGGCAGACCCGGAGAACUGAAACAUCUUAGUACCCGGAGGAAGAGAAAGAAAAAUCGAUUCCCUGAGUAGCGGCGAGCGAAACGGGAAGAGCCCAAACCAACAAGCUUGCUUGUUGGGGUUGUAGGACACUCUAUACGGAGUUACAAAAGAACAUGUUAGACGAAUCAUCUGGAAAGAUGAAUCAAAGAAGGUAAUAAUCCUGUAGUCGAAAACAUAUUCUCUCUUGAGUGGAUCCUGAGUACGACGGAGCACGUGAAAUUCCGUCGGAAUCUGGGAGGACCAUCUCCUAAGGCUAAAUACUCUCUAGUGACCGAUAGUGAACCAGUACCGUGAGGGAAAGGUGAAAAGUACCCCGGAAGGGGAGUGAAAGAGAACUUGAAACCGUGUGCUUACAAGUAGUCAGAGCCCGUUAAUGGGUGAUGGCGUGCCUUUUGUAGAAUGAACCGGCGAGUUACGAUCUGAUGCAAGGUUAAGCAGCAAAUGUGGAGCCGCAGCGAAAGCGAGUCUGAAUAGGGCGUUGAGUAUUUGGUCGUAGACCCGAAACCAGGUGAUCUACCCUUGGUCAGGUUGAAGUUCAGGUAACACUGAAUGGAGGACCGAACCGACUUACGUUGAAAAGUGAGCGGAUGAACUGAGGGUAGCGGAGAAAUUCCAAUCGAACUUGGAGAUAGCUGGUUCUCUCCGAAAUAGCUUUAGGGCUAGCCUCAAGUGAUGAUUAUUGGAGGUAGAGCACUGUUUGGACGAGGGGCCCCUCUCGGGUUACCGAAUUCAGACAAACUCCGAAUGCCAAUUAAUUUAACUUGGGAGUCAGAACAUGGGUGAUAAGGUCCGUGUUCGAAAGGGAAACAGCCCAGACAACCAGCUAAGGUCACAAAAUCUAUGCUCAGUGGAAA